rnacentral:rRNA from 1 species
CCUACGGGAGGCAGCAGUGGGGAAUAUUGCACAAUGGGGGAAACCCUGAUGCAGCAACGCCGCGUGUGUGAAGAAGUAUUUCGGUAUGUAAAGCCCUUUCAGCAGGGAAGAAAAGGAUAGUACUUGUCCAAUAAGUCCUGGCUAACUACGGGCCAGCAGUCGCGGUAAUACGCAGGGGGCAAGCGUUAUCCGGAUUUACUGGGGGUAAAGGGAGCGUAGACGGCUGCGCAAGUCAGAAGGGAAAGCCCCGGGCUCAACCGCGGAACUGCUUUUGAAACUGUGUAGCUUGAGUGCAGGAGAGGGAAGUAGAAUGCCUGGUGUAGCGGUGAAAUGCGUAGAGAUUAGGAGGAACACCGGUGGCGAAGGCGGCUUACUGGAC